rnacentral:rRNA from 1 species
UCGAGAAUCUUCGGCAAUGCGCGAAAGCGUGACCGAGCAAUGCUGCGUGCGGGAUGAAGGCCUUCGGGUUGUAAACCGUAAAAGUAAGGAGGAAGGCUCCGUGAAGAGCGGAGUUUGACCUAACUACAGUAAGGACGGGCUAAGUUCGUGCCAGCAGCCGCGGUAAGACGAACCGUCCAAACGUUAUUCGGAAUUAUUGGGCUUAAAGGGUGCGUAGGCGGCGCUGUAAGUCAGGUGUGAAAUCCCACGGCUCAACCGUGGAACUGCGCUUGAUACUGCAGUGCUUGAGGGAGACAGAGGUAAGCGGAACUGAUGGUGGAGCGGUGAAAUGCGUUGAUAUCAUCAGGAACACCAGUGGCGAAAGCGGCUUACUGGGUCUCUUCUGACGCUGAGGCACGAAAGCUAGGGUAGCGAACGGGAUUAGAUACCCCUGUAGUCC